ACGGAGGAUGCAAGCGUUAUCCGGAUUCAUUGGGUUUAAAGGGUGCGCAGGCGGAAUGAUAAGUCAGUGGUGAAAUCUCUCGGCUCAACUGAGAAACUGCCAUUGAUACUGUUGUUCUUGAGUACACUUGAAGUGGGCGGAAUGUGUCAUGUAGCGGUGAAAUGCUUAGAUAUGACACAGAACACCGAUCGCGAAGGCAGCUCACUAAAUUGUAACUGACGCUCAGGCACGAAAGCGUGGGGAUCAAACAG
rnacentral:rRNA from 1 species